GUUACCUUGCAGAAAUGCUGAAUCUCUGAUGCCUCAGUAAACAUAAUUCCAGGCUGUGAAGAAUCUCUUAAGAGUCAACCUAUUUGUGUUGCUAAAUGAACCAUUAGAACUGAACAUAGAAUUGAAAAUCUAUGCAAAUCCCUGCUUGUGAUGUGAUCUACACAACAUCAAAAUCAUGUUCAAAUAUUUAUAUUUGUUUUCCUGUCUUCAAAAAUUAAAACCUACACGUGCCAGCCCAGCUUUGCCAAAAUUUAAGAGGCCGAACCAUUGUACAAUGAGAGCACUCUGCCAAAUGUUUCUUUCUGCAGGGCUUGGAGUGACUAUUGUCUACACACACAUUUGUAUAAGUGUAAUGUAUCAUUCAGUAUUCAUUCAUCCUCUGUGAUGUGGUGUCUGUAUUGGCUUCACAGGGAAGUCGCUGGUGAUUAUCCACUCCCAAUGAAUUACAGCUUUUAUGGAAAACUGAGGGAAAAAAUGGAUAUUUUCCCAAGAGGUUUUAUACUUGGCUUGACUAUUUUCAGUUUUUCAGAUGUGAAAAGUAAUAUGCAAUAAUAUUAUAACUUUCAGGUGUUGGUAUGCAUGAUAAUCAAACAGGAGCUCCCUGGAAGAGCCUGCCUGAUGUAUCAUCAUUUCUGCUGGGGUCAGAACAGAGCAUCCCUGCAACCAAGAAGAAGUGGAUACAGCAACCUUCUCCUUGUUGAUCAUAUGUCUGGGUGCUCCUUUCUGUCCUCAACAGAAGCGCUACAUGAAGCUCCUGCCUGCAAAGAAGUGGGUGUGCCAAAAAUAGGGCAAAACUUUGCCCUGUGCUGCUCAGUGCAAGGAAGGGGGAUAGUGUGGCUUGGUGUGUGGGAAAUGGAUUGGCCCAAAUCAGACCCAAUCCAGCUGUCCACAUAUCAAAAGAACACACGAUCACUCUGGGAUUUCUGGGAAACACUGAGCUUUCCCCCAACUUUGCUUAGUUCAAAGCAGAGUUGAGUUAAGGCCAGUAUCUCCUUGGAAAGAGUUGUACAUUAUGAAGACUGCCAGAACCAGCUUUGGGGUGAGUACAGCACUUUCCCCUGGUGUGGACAAGCCCGUGGAGAGUGGCAAGUCUGAAGAAGCAUCUUUGUGAGUGAUUUGAGAAUCCUGGCUUAUUUAGGCUUCCUGAUUAUGCAGAAAAUUUUGAAGGUAACAGAAAUCUUCUGUUCAGAUUUGUUAUUCUCCUUGUGAGAAAAGCAAUGAAACUGAAAGUGGAGAUAUAUGCCUGGUACAUACUGCCAAUAAGCGGCGUACCAGGGCUGAUACUAGGGUUAGGGACCACGCAGCAACUGCACGGUCCCUAACCCUGCUACGUAUGUAAGGCAUAACAAUGGCAGUGCCUUGUGUACAUGGUCAUCACCAUUGUUACAUAAGCGCCAUGCAGUGUCUGCAUGUUGCUGCGCAGUGCUUACAUAACAAGGGCGCCAGUGGCGCACUUGUUACACUGCCCCUGUGACUUUAAAGAACCCGCUUUUCUUGGGUUCUUUUUCCUCCACAGGGAAGCCGUGUGGUAUGGCAGCUGCAGCUUCCCUCUGGAGGAAAAAAAGGUGCCAGCAGGCCGCUGUUUUUUGGUGGUCUGUACUGUGCCAUAUAUAAUGCCUGAAUAGAGCUAUUCAGACUGAACAUGUGGAAGACUGUGUAGACUAAAUGGGUGAGAGGAGAGCAACACUGCUUCCAUAAGUGAACAUAGAAGUUUUAUAGAUGGAGUUCUCUUCACACCAUGGAAGUGAAACUGAUUUCCAUUCUGCUACACUCUACUAAUGGAAGGCCUCUUCCAUUGACAGAGAUAACCACAGCAGAGUUAUGCCACUUUCCUACUUGAGAAAAGGAAAAGGAGAGCAAUUUUCACUCUUUUCUCCUUCCACUGGGCCCCACAGUGCCACCUCAGACAUGGUUCUGAUUUUAGAGGAAAGAUAAUAUACAUUAUGGUUAUUUUUAUUUCUCUUUUUAAAGAAACUUAACUCAUUGUGCAUGCUGCAGAUAAAUAACUGAUUAUUCAUUCUUCAUUCCCCUGUUUUAAGAGAGAGAGAGAGAGAGAGAGAGAGAGAGUUAGAUAU